CCUAACUUCUCAUUCAUCCAACUUACUAUAUAAAUCUUGUCCAACUUGGGCUAUUUUCCUCCCACUCCAAUCUUUCUUAUCUUAAUUUUCAAUAUUUUGUUUGGCCACAAAAUUUUGAUCUACACAAUUAAGCAAUUAUCAACUUUUCUCAUCAAAGGGCAAGUUUCAAGAAAACAGAAAAAAAAUGAACAAUAAAAAGGAGAAUAAUACACAUGCAAAGCUUGACUUGAAGCUAAACUUAUCACCACCAAGAAAUGAACCUUCACCACCAAGAAGAUCAUCAUCAUCAUCAUCAUCAGUGGAGAUCAUCAGUAGAUCACCAACCACCUCCUGUGUUUCUCGAGAACCGAGCCCUAAUGAUGACGUGGCAUUUUCGGGUGGUUGCCCUAGUAGUAGCUCAGAGACAACCUCAAUGAUGCUUGUGGGAUGCCCUAGAUGUUUGAUGUAUGUUAUGUUAUCAGUGCAUAAACCAAAAUGCCCUAAAUGCAAUAGCACUGUCCUACUUGAUUUUUUCCAAGAGGAAAGAAUCAAGAAAUCAAAGUGAUCAUAUAUCAAGUAUUAUUCAAGAAGCAACCUAGGAACAAACACAUGUUGCCGCCAGAAGCAGAAUCCUGUUUUUCUUGUAGAGAAUCUCCUUACUGUUCUCGAGUGAUCAGAAAGUAAAGAGAUUCUUGAACCAGAAAGAAUUCAGUACUCAGAUUUUAGAAUAUACUUAUCCAGAAGCUUUCGCAACUCAAUCAAGAAUUCAGUUUAGAUUUUAGAAUAUACUUAUCCAGAAGCUUUCGCAACUCAAUCAAAUGUUAGCUUAGCUUUAAUUUAUGCUUUUAUUGCGUCUAGAUUUUAUUUAGUUUUGAUAUUACUGAAGGGGAACGUUGGUGUAACUGAUAAAGUUUCUAUCAUGGGUCUUGAAAGCUGCAAGUUUGAGCUAUGAAAACAGCCUCUUACAGAAACCUUGUAAUCCAGCUCUUCCUUGUACCUUGCGUAUAGUAGGGAGCUUGAUGUGUUGGACUGCUUUUUUUGAUUUUAUAUUUUAUCUUGAUAUUAUUGGAUUGUGUGAUAAUGAAAAUUUGGGAAUUUUGUAUUACAACUAGUGAUAUAAUAGGUCUCAAUUUGCAGCCAA